CUGGCGGCAGGCCAACACAUGCAAGUCGAACGGUAACAUUUCUAGCUUGCUAGAAGAUGACGAGUGGCGGACGGGUGAGUAAUGCUUGGGAACUUGCCUUUGCGAGGGGGAUAACAGUUGGAAACGACUGCUAAUACCGCAUAAUGUCUUCGGACCAAACGGGGCUUCGGCUCCGGCGCAAAGAGAGGCCCAAGUGAGAUUAGCUAGUUGGUAAGGUAAUGGCUUACCAAGGCGACGAUCUCUAGCUGUUCUGAGAGGAAGAUCAGCCACACUGGGACUGAGACACGGCCCAGACUCCUACGGGAGGCAGCAGUGGGGAAUAUUGCACAAUGGGGGAAACCCUGAUGCAGCCAUGCCGCGUGUGUGAAGAAGGCUUCCGGGUUGUAAAGCACUUUCAGUUGAGAGGAAAAGUUAGUAGUUAAUACCUGCUAGCCGUGACGUUAACAACAGAAGAAGCACCGGCUAACUCCGUGCCAGCAGCCGCGGUAAUACGGAGGGUGCGAGUGUUAAUCGGAAUUACUGGGCGUAAAGCGCACG
rnacentral:rRNA from 1 species